rnacentral:rRNA from 1 species
UGGAUGUCUUGAGUGCAGUUGAGGCAGGCGGAAUUCGUGGUGUAGCGGUGAAAUGCUUAGAUAUCACGAAGAACUCCGAUUGCGAAGGCAGCCUGCUAAGCUGCAACUGACAUUGAGGCUCGAAAGUGUGGGUAUCAAACAGGAUUAGAUACCCUGGUAGUCCACACGGUAAACGAUGAAUACUCGCUGUUUGCGAUAUACGGCAAGCGGCCAAGCGAAAGCGUUAAGUAUUCCACCUGGGGAGUACGCCGGCAACGGUGAAACUCAAAGGAAUUGACGGGGGCCCGCACAAGCGGAGGAACAUGUGGUUUAAUUCGAUGAUACGCGAGGAACCUUACCCGGGCUUAAAUUGCACUCGAAUGAUCCGGAAACGGUUCAGCUAGCAAUAGCGAGUGUGAAGGUGCUGCAUGGUUGUCGUCAGCUCGUGCCGUGAGGUGUCGGCUUAAGUGCCAUAACGAGCGCAACCCUUGUUGUCAGUUACUAACAGGUGAUGCUGAGGACUCUGACAAGACUGCCAUCGUAAGAUGUGAGGAAGGUGGGGAUGACGUCAAAUCAGCACGGCCCUUACGUCCGGGGCUACACACGUGUUACAAUGGGGGGUACAGAGGGCCGCUACCACGCGAGUGGAUGCCAAUCCCUAAAACCCCUCUCAGUUCGGACUGGAGUCUGCAACCCGACUCCACGAAGCUGGAUUCGCUAGUAAUCGCGCAUCAGCCACGGCGCGGUGAAUACGUUCCCGGGCCUUGUACACACCGCCCGUCAAGCCAUGGGAGCCGGGGGUACCUGAAGUGCGUAACCGCGAGGAUCGCCCUAGGGUAAAACUGGUGACUGGGGCUAAGUCGUAACAAGGUAGCCGUACCGGAAGGUGCGGCUG